rnacentral:rRNA from 1 species
CCUACGGGAGGCAGCAGUAGGGAAUCUUCCACAAUGGGCGAAAGCCUGAUGGAGCAACGCCGCGUGGGUGAAGAAGGUCUUCGGAUCGUAAAACCCUGUUGUUAGAGAAGAACGUGCGUGAGAGUAACUGUUCACGUUUCGACGGUAUCUAACCAGAAAGCCACGGCUAACUACGUGCCAGCAGCCGCGGUAAUACGUAGGUGGCAAGCGUUAUCCGGAUUUAUUGGGCGUAAAGGGAACGCAGGCGGUCUUUUAAGUCUGAUGUGAAAGCCUUCGGCUUAACCGGAGUAGUGCAUUGGAAACUGGGAGACUGGAGUGCAGAAGAGGAGAGGGGAACUCCAGGUGUAGCGGUGAAAUGCGUAGAUAUAUGGAAGAACACCAGUGGCGAAAGCGGCUCUCUGGUCUGUAACUGACGCUGAGGUGCGAAAGCGUGGGUAGCAAACAGGAUUAGAUACCCUAGUAGUC